rnacentral:rRNA from 1 species
CCUACGGGCGGCAGCAGUGGGGAAUAUUGCGCAAUGGGCGAAAGCCUGACGCAGCGACGCAGCGUGAGGGAUGAAGGUCUUCGGAUCGUAAACCUCUGUCAGCAGGGAAGUACGGUCACUGUGCUAAUCAGCAGUGAAUUGACGGUAUCUGCAAGGGAAGCACCGGCUAACUCCGUGCCAGCAGCCGCGGUAAUACGGAGGGUGCGAGCGUUAAUCGGAUUUACUGGGCUUAAAGCGCUCGUAGACGGUAUGUCAAGUCAAGGGUGAAAUCGCGGGGCUCAACGGGGGAACUGCCUUUGAAACUGGCAGACUGGAGUGUGUGGGAGGAUAGUGGAAUUCCAGGUGUAGGAGUGAAAUCCGUAGAUAUCUGGAGGAACAUCAGUGGCGAAGGCGGCUAUCUGGCACAUAACUGACGCUGAGGAGCGAAAGCGUGGGUAGCAAACAGGAUUAGAUACCCCUGUAGUC